rnacentral:rRNA from 1 species
UACGGGGGAGCAAGCGUUGUUCGGAUUUACUGGGCGUAAAGGGCGCGUAGGCGGCCAGCACAAGUCAGUUGUGAAAUCUCCGAGCUUAACUCGGAAAGGUCAACUGAUACUGUGCGGCUAGAGUGCGGAAGGGGCAACUGGGAAUUCUCGGUGUAGCGGUGAAAUGCGUAGAUAUCGAGAGGAACACCUGCGGCGAAGGCGGGUUGCUGGGCUGACACUGACGCUGAGGCGCGAAAGCUAGGGGAGCGAACGGGA